rnacentral:rRNA from 1 species
AGAGUUUGAUCAUGGCUCAGAUUGAACGCUGGCGGCAGGCCUAACACAUGCAAGUCGAACGGUAACAGGAAGCAGCUUGCUGCUUCGCUGACGAGUGGCGGACGGGUGAGUAAUGUCUGGGAAAACUGCCUGAUGGAGGGGGAUAACUACUGGAAACGGUAGCUAAUACCGCAUAACGUCGCAAGACCAAAGAGGGGGACCUUCGGGCCUCUUGCCAUCGGAUGUGCCCAGAUGGGAUUAGCUAGUAGGUGGGGUAACGGCUCACCUAGGCGACGAUCCCUAGCUGGUCUGAGAGGAUGACCAGCCACACUGGAACUGAGACACGGUCCAGACUCCUACGGGAGGCAGCAGUGGGGAAUAUUGCACAAUGGGCGCAAGCCUGAUGCAGCCAUGCCGCGUGUAUGAAGAAGGCCUUCGGGUUGUAAAGUACUUUCAGCGGGGAGGAAGGGAGUAAAGUUAAUACCUUUGCUCAUUGACGUUACCCGCAGAAGAAGCACCGGCUAACUCCGUGCCCAGCAGCCGCGGUAAUACGGAGGGUGCAAGCGUUAAUCGGAAUUACUGGGCGUAAAGCGCACGCAGGCGGUUUGUUAAGUCAGAUGUGAAAUCCCCGGGCUCAACCUGGGAACUGCAUCUGAUACUGGCAAGCUUGAGUCUCGUAGAGGGGGGUAGAAUUCCAGGUGUAGCGGUGAAAUGCGUAGAGAUCUGGAGGAAUACCGGUGGCGAAGGCGGCCCCCUGGACGAAGACUGACGCUCAGGUGCGAAAGCGUGGGGAGCAAACAGGAUUAGAUUACCCUGGUAGUCCACGCCGUAAACGAUGUCGACUUGGAGGUUGUGCCCUUGAGGCGUGGCUUCCGGAGCUAACGCGUUAAGUCGACCGCCUGGGGAGUACGGCCGCAAGGUUAAAACUCAAAUGAAUUGACGGGGGGCCCGCACAAGCGGUGGAGCAUGUGGUUUAAUUCGAUGCAACGCGAAGAACCUUACCUGGUCUUGACAUCCACGGAAGUUUUCAGAGAUGAGAAUGUGCCUUCGGGAACCGUGAGACAGGUGCUGCAUGGCUGUCGUCAGCUCGUGUUGUGAAAUGUUGGGUUAAGUCCCGCAACGAGCGCAACCCUUAUCCUUUGUUGCCAGCGGUCCGGCCGGGAACUCAAAGGAGACUGCCAGUGAUAAACUGGAGGAAGGUGGGGGAUGACGUCAAGUCAUCAUGGCCCUUACGACCAGGGCUACACACGUGCUACAAUGGCGCAUACAAAGAGAAGCGACCUCGCGAGAGCAAGCGGACCUCAUAAAGUGCGUCGUAGUCCGGAUUGGAGUCUGCAACUCGACUCCAUGAAGUCGGAAUCGCUAGUAAUCGUGGAUCAGAAUGCCACGGUGAAUACGUUCCCGGGCCUUGUACACACCGCCCGUCACACCAUGGGAGUGGGUUGCAAAAGAAGUAGGUAGCUUAACCUUCGGGAGGGCGCUUACCACUUUGUGAUUCAUGACUGGGGUGAAGUCGUAACAAGGUAACCGUAGGGGAACCUGCGGUUGGAUCACCU